GUGAACGCUGGCGGCAGGCCUAAUACAUGCAAGUCGAACGGAUGUAGCAAUACAUCAGUGGCGCACGGGUGAGUAACACGUGGGAACAUCCCUUUUAGUACGGAACAACAGCGGGAAACUGCUGCUAAUACCGUAUACGCCCUCCGGGGGAAAGAUUUAUCGCUAAAAGAUUGGCCCGCGUAGGAUUAGCUAGUUGGUGAGGUAACGGCUCACCAAGGCUACGAUCCUUAGCUGGUUUGAGAGAACGACCAGCCACACUGGGACUGACACACGGCCCAGACUCCUACGGGAGGCAGCAGUAGGGAAUCUUGGACAAUGGGCGCAAGCCUGAUCCAGCCAUGCCGCGUGAGUGAUGAAGGCCUUCGGGUUGUAAAGCUCUUUUAGCGGGGACGAUAAUGACGGUACCCGCAGAAUAAGCUCCGGCUAACUUCGUGCCAGCAGCCGCGGUAAUACGAAGGGAGCUAGCGUUACUCGGAAUCACUGGGCGUAAAGCGCGCGCAGACGGCUUUUCAAGCCAGGGGUGAAAUACCAAGGCUUAACCUUGGAAUUGCCUUUGGAACUGUAAAGCUAGAGUUCGGAAGAGGAUGGUGGAAUACCUAGUGUAGAGGUGAAAUCCGUAGAUAUUAGGUGGAACACCAGUGGCGAAGGCGGCCAUCUGGUCCGAUACUGACGUUGAGGCGCGAAAGCGUGGGGAUCAAACAGGAUUAGAUACCCUGGUAGUCCACGCUGUAAACGAUGAGUGCUAGAUGUCGGCUCCUUUAGGGGUCGGUGUCGCAGCUAACGCGUUAAGCACUCCGCCUGGGGAGUACGGUCGCAAGAUUAAAACUCAAAGGAAUUGACGGGGACCCGCACAAGCGGUGGAGCAUGUGGUUUAAUUCGAGGCAACGCGAAGAACCUUACCAGGCCUUGACAUGUCCAGUAUGGUCGUCAGAGAUGACUUCCUUCACUUCGGGUGGCUGGAACACAGGUGCUGCAUGGCUGUCGUCAGCUCGUGUCGUGAGAUGUUGGGUUAAGUCCCGCAACGAGCGCAACCCUCAUCCCUUGUUGCUAACAGGUAAUGCUGAGAACUCUAGGGAAACCGCCGGCGUUAAGCCGGAGGAAGGUGGGGACGACGUCAAGUCAUCAUGGCCCUUACGGCCUGGGCUACACACGUGCUACAAUGGCAGUGACGGUGGGAAGCCAACCAGCAAUGGUGCGCAAAUCUCAAAAAGCUGCCUCAGUUCAGAUUGUCCUCUGCAACUCGAGGGCAUGAAGUCGGAAUCGCUAGUAAUCGCGUAUCAGCAUGACGCGGUGAAUCCGUUCCCGGGUCUUGUACACACCGCCCGUCACACCAUGGGAGUUGGUUCUACCUUAAGCCGGUGAGCGAACCGCAAGGACGCAGCCGACCACGGUAGGGUCAAUGACUGGGGUG
rnacentral:rRNA from 1 species